rnacentral:rRNA from 1 species
UAGGGAAUCUUCGGCAAUGGACGAAAGUCUGACCGAGCAACGCCGCGUGAGUGUAGAAGGUUUUCGGAUCGUAAAACUCUGUUGUUAGAGAAGAACAAGGACGUUAGUAACUGAACGUCCCCUGACGGUAUCUAACCAGAAAGCCACGGCUAACUACGUGCCAGCAGCCGCGGUAAUACGUAGAUGGCAAGCGUUGUCCGGAUUUAUUGGGCGUAAAGCGAGCGCAGGCGGUUUCUUAAGUCUGAUGUGAAAGCCCCCGGCUCAACCGGGGAGGGUCAUUGGAAACUGGGAGACUUGAGUGCAGAAGAGGAGAGUGGAAUUCCAUGUGUAGCGGUGAAAUGCGUAGAUAUAUGGAGGAACACCAGUGGCGAAGGCGGCUCUCUGGUCUGUAACUGACGCUGAGGCUCGAAAGCGUGGGGAGCAAACAGG